UACAGAGGGGGCGAGCGUUAUUCGGAAUUAUUGGGCGUAAAGGGCGCGUAGGCGGCUUUGCAAGUGACGGGUGAAAUCCCUCGGCUUAACCGAGGAACUGCCUGUCAAACUGCAUGGCUUGAGACCGGGAGAGGUGAGUGGAAUUCCCAGUGUAGCGGUGAAAUGCGUAGAUAUUGGGAGGAACACCAGUGGCGAAGGCGGCUCACUGGACCGGUACUGACGCUGAGGCGCGAAAGCGUGGGUAGCAAACAGG
rnacentral:rRNA from 1 species